AAGUAUGGUAAUACAUUCUUGUCAGCUGUCUGGGCAAAUCUUCUCUCGCAGAAUUGGAUUAAAAUUUAAUGUAUUUUAUUUCUCACUUCCAACGAUGUCGCAAUUAUUAGGCAGCUAUCAAGUCUCAAGAUAUGACAUAAUUUGAUAGAAUGUUAGUACCAACGCUAUCAGUGCAUUGAAGUCGAGUUCUCGAUACAGGGAGCUGCUGGUAAACUACCGUCGCUAUACAUCGACUAUGACUACAAUCCUACUUUUAAAAACAAACUACAUACAUAUCUCACAUUUGCGAGGACUACUUCAUCAC